UCCCUGGAGGACUAGUGGUUAGGCUACAGCGCUCACCACUGUGGCCCGGGUUCGAUUCCUGGCCAGGGAA